CCUAAGCUGUGUUCCAACCUUACAAUUAGAUGAAAAUUGGGGCCCAUGAGAUGUGAGAUUGUAGAGUUAACUCUCUGUCGGUUCAUCGAAACAGAUUAUUUGUAAUUAAAAAUAUAGCAUGAGAUAGCUGCCUGCUCAUGUGGUUCCCGCAUCAAUGGGGGGAUUUUUAAUUUCAUACGGGUGGGCAUGGUAAUUUUGUAUGCCCCUGCGUCUGGGCACUAGGAUCACAUGAUUAGAAAACUUUAUUUUUUCCUUUAAAAAUAAACAUAUACAACAACAAAAGACAAAACUAGUAGAGGGUCGGUUCCCACCUUUUACAGUCUUCUAUCCUCCAUUGGCAGAGAGGCCAUACAUGGUGACGAAUGCAUUAUAAUCAUGGCACUUAUUCUAUCGUGUGAAAGAUUAUUAUUCUGUCGUGUGGAUGAGUGAUGUGACAUAUCUGACUGUUGGAUAUUUGUAAAUGGCAUACCCUUUCACAAAUAUCCAUGCAACUCUUCUCGUACUAUGCACUCUCUUUGUGAUCUUGAGAUUGAAAUGGUUGUUCUACAUAUAAUCUGAACAACUCUGAGUGGGCUGAAACUUCACAUGUGAAUAGAAUACCGUGGGUUCUUUUGGUAUACAAAAUCUCAUGUCUCAUUUAAGUUGCUAUGUGGCAAAAAUGAUGGAUAGUUACAAAAAUCAAAUGCACUAACAUUGUGAUAACAACUAAAUUAACCUUCCUCGUCUUCAUGGGAUGAACCCUCAAUAGGGAAACAUAGUUAGAAUUUUUUAAUUAAAAAAAAAAUCAUAAAAAACACCUGGAUGGGAACGCUUUAAUGAUUAAUGGUGAUCAAUCAUAAUUACACUUCUAGACAAUCACAUUUCUCUUACAGACGCAAGCUCGCCUAAUUGGCCCAAACAGAUUAUGAUUCUCCACUAUUUCCCUGUGUUCUUAGUGCCUACAGUUAAAAUUGUCCUCCCACUAAUUCAGCUUAACAGAACCAAAUCCUCUAUAAAUUCCCAUCUUCAAACCAGAUCUUAGUGUAGCUUCAUUGGAUAUUAAUUUCCCUGGAGGAAGGAGACAGGUAGUUGAUCAUGAAGAAUUUACUAGUACUCGUAAUGGCCGGGCUGAUCUUGGCAUCUCUGCAAGCCGAUGCAGCACGGAAAGUAAAUAUUGGUGGGAAAUUAGGAGGGGGAACUGGUGCAACCGAUUUCAUGGCUGAGAAGACAGGCGUUUCGGCGAAUCCUGUAGUUGGUUCUCAGGUGGCCGGAGUGGUUAAAACCACCAGUGAUAGCGAUGAUGACCAGAACAACAGCUAUGGAAAUUAUGGUCAUGAUCAAGGAUCCAAUACGGACUCCCACCAUGUGUAUGCUGAUGAUCGUAUUCCUCAGUAUCACCAUUAAGCUUAUCAUCAUCAGGGAAUAAGUGUUAAAUGUAAUUUAGGGUUUGCUUAUAUUGAAUAAGGUCGAAUGAACAUGUUUGUUGCCUAUAACAAAGGAAGCAUGUUUCAUUUCCCAGAAGGUCAUGGUUCCAACCUAUAAGGUUGUUGUAGUGUAUGAUAUAUAUAGUGUGUUAUAGUCUGUGGUGCAUGUACUUGUGUGACAGACUCAUGGCUUCCUUAAGGCCAAAUAUGUUAGUAGCUUGUGGUUUCAAUCUAUGAUCAGGUGGUUGGUUAUGGAUUUUUAAUAAUAUAUCAUCUUUUCCUUCAUAAA